GCAUUUUGUGUUUGCUCUUCCUCUCAUCGACUCAUGGGUUUAUUGGACUUUGGUUUGGUCUCACUAUCUACAUGAGUCUUAGAGCAGCCGUUGGAUUCUGGCGGAUUGGGACAGGAACUGGACCUUGGUCUUUUCUUAGGAGCUGAAGUUAAAGGGAUGAGCAUGUUCAAGUUGUCUUAAAAUUUUAUUUCUGAUAAGAUUGUAAUUAGAUAAAACAAAAAAAUAUACAAAGUUUUGAGUCAGGAUAUACAAAUAAUCAUAUGCGAUUAUUACGGUUACACUUGUAAACCCCCAUCUAAGGUUUGAUUUUAAUUUAAAAACUUUUUUU